rnacentral:rRNA from 1 species
UACGUAGGGGGCGAGCGUUGUCCGGAGUUACUGGGCGUAAAGCGCACGCAGGCGGUCUGCUAAGUUUGGAGUGACAGUUGGUGGCUUAACUGCCAAAGUGCUUCGAAAACUGACAGACUUGAGGGCUUCAGAGGGACACGGAAUUCCGGGUGGAGUGGUGAAAUGCGUAGAGAUCAGGAGGAACACCGGUGGCGAAGGCGGCCCACUGGGCAGUCACUGACGCUGAGGCGCGAAAGCUCGGGGAGCGAACGGG